AAAAAUGCACAAGAUUUUCCUCAAAAUCUGUACCUAGUAGUGAUUGAUAAUUAACCUUUUAUAUUUGUAAAAAAAAAAAAUCCGGUUUCUUUUUAGCAAGUCCUAAAGAUAAAAAUUGCAUGGUGUUCUUGCAAACCGCAAAUGAACUUACCUAUAGAGCUUUGUUGGGAACAUGUCGACUCUGGAGUUUGGAUGUAAUUUGUUUAUAAAUGUAAUGGUAUUAUAUUGUUAAAGCACGCUCUUUAUGAAAAUGAGAAUGUUCUUCCAAAUGCGCUUGAUCUUUUGAAUUGUUAGUUGAAUGUGGCAUUAUUUAUUCAUUUAUUCGUUAACAGUGUAAUUUCGUCUACUUUCAAAAUGGAAUGCAAUACUGUUGGUAUUUAUAAGAUUUUCAACAUAUAUAUUAGGCCCUUUGACCAGGAGAAAUGUGAGCUAUUCAUAUAUGCAAGUCUGCAAAGUUACUGUUUUUAUCUCCUUCACCUGCAAAUUUUGCUUUGUUCUUUGCAUUUAUUUCUGUAUAUAGAGAAUUACAUUUAGCUGAUUUGGAUUUUAUUUGAAAAUUUUGCAAUCUUCUUUUAUAACCAUAGGAUGAAGUGCAUUGUUUACUGUGUACUUACAAGAGUUAGACUAAAGGAUGCAUAAGUUUUUCUAAAGGGUGAAGAGAUAAAUCCAUACCAUAUGUAUUUAAAAGUUGAAAUAUGGCAUAUGUGUAUUAGUUAUUUGCUUGAUUUACCAUAUUGGGGCAAUUUUUAGCAAAUAGUUGGGCUGGUUAUAUGCUAAAUGACCACAUUAUGUUCAAUCAUUUGACAACAUAGCUUUUUGAACAUUAACUUAUGAAGACCAUCUUCAAAUUGCACCACCAUAUGAGCUGUUGACUCUAUUCAUUAUGGUAUUCUUUAACUGUGUUCUAUAGAAAUAUAAUUCUUUCUAUUUCAGCUUCAGUAAUCAGUAUGUACUAUUACAUUAUCUAUAAUUCUUAUUUGCAUGAUUCUGGUUCUUCAAUGGGUUGAACCUUUUUUUUUUUUUG
rnacentral:misc_RNA from 1 species